UACGUAGGGGGCAAGCGUUGUCCGGAUUUAUUGGGCGUAAAGAGCGUGUAGGCGGCCAAGCAGGUCCGCUGUGAAAACUCGAGGCUCAACCUCGAGACGUCGGUGGAAACCGUUUGGCUAGAGUCCGGAAGAGGAGAGUGGAAUUCCCGGUGUAGCGGUGAAAUGCGCAGAUAUCGGGAAGAACACCCGUGGCGAAGGCGAGUCUCUGGACAUUUCCUGACGCUGAGGCACGAAAGCCAGGGGAGCAAACGGG
rnacentral:rRNA from 1 species